AGAGUUUGAUCCUGGCUCAGGAUGAACGCUGGCGGCAGGCUUAAUACAUGCAAGUCGAACGGUAACAUUACGGAGCAAUUCGUAGAUGACGAGUGGCGGAUGGGUGCGUAACGCGUAUGCAACCUACCUUUAACUGGGACAUAACGUUGAGAAAUCGGCGCUAAUAUUCCAUAUGUUUCUAUAAAGGCAUCUUUAUAUAAAUAAAGAUUUAUUUCGGUUAAGGAUGGGCAUGCGUAUCAUUAGCUAGUUGGUAGGGUAAGAGCUUACCAAGGCAACGAUGAUUAGGGGUUCUGAGAGGAUAACCCCCCACACUGGAACUGAGACACGGUCCAGACUCCUACGGGAGGCAGCAGUAGGGAAUAUUGGGCAAUGGAGGCAACUCUGACCCAGCCACGCCGCGUGAAGGAAGACAGUCUUAUGGAUUGUAAACUUCUUUUAUCAUAGAGUAACCACUGGGACGCGUUCCUGGUCUACACGUAUAUGAUGAAUAAGCAUCGGCUAACUCCGUGCCAGCAGCCGCGGUAAUACGGAGGAUGCAAGCGUUAUCCGGAUUUAUUGGGUUUAAAGGGUGCGCAGGCUGAUCGGUAAGUCAGGGGUGAAACUUUACAGCUUAACUGUAACCGUGCCUUUGAUACUGCCGGGCUAGAGUUUAAGUGACGUAAUUGGAAUAUGAUGUGUAGCGGUGAAAUGCUUAGAUAUAUCACAGAACGCCGAUCGUGAAGACAGAUUACGAACUUAUUACUGACGCUCAUGCACGAAAGCGUGGGGAUCAAACAGGAUUAGAUACCCUGGUAGUCCACGCUGUAAACUAUGAUCACUCGUUGUUGGAUGGCAACAUUCAGUGGCUAAGGGAAACCAUUAAGUGAUCCACCUGGGGAGUACGAUCGCAAGGUUGAAACUCAAAUGAAUUGACGG
rnacentral:rRNA from 1 species